rnacentral:lncRNA from 1 species
UCCCGAUUUUUAAAGGGUUUUUCACCAUUAUUCCCAGUUUUCCAAGGGUUAUUCCCAUUUUCCAAGGCUUCUUUCCCAUUUUUCCAGGGUUAUUCCCAAUUUUCCAGGGUUAUUCCCAUUUUUCCAAGGGUUAUUCCCAUUUUUGGGGAGGUUAUUCCUAAUUUUCCAAGGGUUUUUCCCAAUUUUCCAAGGAUUUUCCCCAUUUUUCCAGAGUCAUUCCCAUUUUUGAAGAGUUAUUCCCAUUUUUCCAAGGGUUAUUCCAAAUUUUCCAAGGGUUUUUCCUAUUUUCUGAGGGUUAUUCCCAUUUUCCAAGGAUUUUCCCCAUUUUUGAGAGUAAUUCCCAUUUUCCCAGGGUCAUUCCCAAUUUUCCGAGCGUUAUUCCCGUGCCCGGCCCUGGGCAGCGCCCGCGCCGCCCUGCUCCGGAACCUUCCGUAGCCAUUCCCGGAUUUCCAGGGCUCCGCCGGCCUUCUGGGGGGUCCUUCCCGUUUUUCCCAGGGUUAUUCCCAGUUUUGGGGGGGUUAUUCCCAUUUUUCUGAGAGUUUUCCCCCAUUUUUCCAAGGAUUAUUCCCAUUUUUGGGGGUUUAUUCCCAACUUUCCAGGGUUAUUCCCAAAUUUUCCAAGGGUUUUUCCCAUUUUCCAAGGGUUUUUCCCAUUUUUCCCGGGCUCAUUCCCAAUUUCCCAAGGGUUAUUCCAAAUUUCCCAGGCUCAUUCCCAUUUUUCCAAG